ensembl:lncRNA
CAUUUUAUUUGAUCUAAUUAAGGAUUAAUAUGUAUUUCUAUCUCAUAAAUUUUGUCAAAUUUAGAUCUUGAAUUCUAAAGGUGUGUGAAUUUCAUUUUUACUUACUUUUGUUGAGUUUCUAGGACUUUACCAUCGUGUAGAUUUACUUGCACUAACUGUGGCCUAUGAAGAAGUCCGUCCAAGUUCAGAUGAAAAUGUCACCGGACGGAGAUGUGAUGGAGACAAAAUUCAACAAUGUUUCUGUCCACGUAUAUGUGUCAAAGAGGAAAUCAGAUACACCAAGAAGGGUUGUGUGUUAUCCAUGGUGGUGGCUGGUGUUCUGGAAGUGGUGCUAGGUGGAUUCUUUGAGAGAUGUCUAUCACUGGAGUAGAUUGCAAAUGUUUUACUAAGGCUUUAUAUUGUGCUUUUCAGCAAAGAAUGACUGGGAGGUGAAGACAGAUGUUUGGGAAACAUAGACUUGUGUCUUGGGUAGAAGAACAAGCCACUAGGAAAGCAUUAAAAAGUGAUCAGAAAUGUCAAAAAGUAAAAAGGAAGAAAAAAAU